UCCUGGAUUCAGCGGCGGACGGGUGAGUAAUGCCUAGGAAUCUGCCUGGUAGUGGGGGACAACGUUUCGAAAGGAACGCUAAUACCGCAUACGUCCUACGGGAGAAAGCAGGGGACCUUCGGGCCUUGCGCUAUCAGAUGAGCCUAGGUCGGAUUAGCUAGUUGGUGAGGUAAUGGCUCACCAAGGCGACGAUCCGUAACUGGUCUGAGAGGAUGAUCAGUCACACUGGAACUGAGACACGGUCCAGACUCCUACGGGAGGCAGCAGUGGGGAAUAUUGGACAAUGGGCGAAAGCCUGAUCCAGCCAUGCCGCGUGUGUGAAGAAGGUCUUCGGAUUGUAAAGCACUUUAAGUUGGGAGGAAGGGUUGUAGAUUAAUACUCUGCAAUUUUGACGUUACCGACAGAAUAAGCACCGGCUAACUCUGUGCCAGCAGCCGCGGUAAUACAGAGGGUGCAAGCGUUAAUCGGAAUUACUGGGCGUAAAGCGCGCGUAGGUGGUUUGUUAAGUUGGAUGUGAAAUCCCCGGGCUCAACCUGGGAACUGCAUCCAAACUGGCAAGCUAGAGUAUGG
rnacentral:rRNA from 1 species